rnacentral:rRNA from 1 species
UAGGGAAUCUUCCGCAAUGGACGCAAGUCUGACGGAGCAACGCCGCGUGAGUGAAGAAGGAUUUCGGUUCGUAAAACUCUGUUGUUAGAGAAGAACAGCGCAUAGAGUAACUGUUAUGCGUGUGACGGUAUCUAACCAGAAAGCCACGGCUAACUACGUGCCAGCAGCCGCGGUAAUACGUAGGUGGCAAGCGUUGUCCGGAUUUAUUGGGCGUAAAGCGAGCGCAGGCGGUCAAUUAAGUCUGAUGUGAAAGCCCCCGGCUCAACCGGGGAGGGUCAUUGGAAACUGGUUGACUUGAGUGCAGAAGAGGAGAGAGGAAUUCCAUGUGUAGCGGUGAAAUGCGUAGAUAUAUGGAGGAACACCAGUGGCGAAGGCGACUCUCUGGUCUGUAACUGACGCUGAGGCUCGAAAGCGUGGGUAGCAAACAGG